rnacentral:lncRNA from 14 species
ACUGUAUGUGAGAAAUCAGUGUCAUGACUGUUGUACCAUCUCAGACUACAGUCUCACCAGAAAAUACAUAUUUUGCAGGACUGAAGCUUCCUGUUGUACACAUGACAAAUUUUCACAGAGAAGUAGGCUGGUGUUCAUGAGAAGAAAUCUUCCCAGAAGUGCACAGAAAAGGCAGAGCCCUCUGCAUAUGGAGAGGUGAAGAUAUGUAACAGCCUACAGGUAGACAAUAAAGCUUUCAUUCUGAUGAAGAAGAAAGGAUCACUGUAGGUAGACUUGGCCCAAAUGCCCUUAACAGGAAUGGUUUUCCCUGGACAUCAGUGAUUCAUGCAAACUCCAGAUCACAUCAGUAAAAAGAAGUCUUACAAGGAAGGACAUGCAGUAUCUCACAGAUCACAGCCUUAAGGAUCCAGGACCAGUCAGAAACUGCAUCUCCUCAACUGAAAAGUGCUGGGCCUAUAAUCAAAAGGAUACUCAGUGCCUAGAACAGCAAUAUUGACGCAGCCUGGCAUUUCUGUAUACUACAGUACAAUCAUGUAAGUGCACCAAACAUUUGGCCUUUUGUUAUCUCAUGUACCAAGACAGAGAAGCA